rnacentral:rRNA from 1 species
UACCAGCACCCCGAGUGGUCGGGACGAUUAUUGGGCCUAAAGCAUCCGUAGCCGGCCUUACAAGUCCUCCGUUAAAUCCAGCUGCUUAACAGAUGGGCUGCGGAGGAUACUAUAAGACUAGGAGGCAGGAGAGGCAAGCGGUACUCAGUGGGUAGGGGUAAAAUCCGUAGAGAUGUGAAGGAACACCGGGGGCGAAGGCGCCUACCUAGACGAAUAUUGACGCUGAGGCGCGAAAGCGUGGGGAGCAAACAGG